CGUUCUCUGCUGGGAUUUGAACACAGAGUCCUGGGUUUUUAGACAAGCGCUCUACCACCUAAGCUACCGAGC
rnacentral:tRNA from 1 species